rnacentral:rRNA from 1 species
CACGGGGGGCCUACGGGAGGCAGCAGUGGGGAAUUUUGGACAAUGGGGGCAACCCUGAUCCAGCAAUGCCGCGUGAGUGAAGAAGGCCCUCGGGUUGUAAAGCUCUUUUGUCAGGGAAGAAACGGAGUUCUCUAAUAUAGGAUCUAAUGAC